rnacentral:lncRNA from 1 species
GUGUCUUCACCACCCUCGCCCUUGCCCUCGCUGGGAAGGCUCUACCUACCCCUGCCCCCAAGGAAGAAGAGGCAUGCGCUGUCUUUUCCUAGGCCCAGCUAAGACCCAGCCAGGGUAUGCAGGAGCAAUGGCCUAGGGGAGUCUCCAGCAAGGGGGGGGUUGAGGAAGGGGAUCCCCAAAGGUGUGAGAGGAAGAAUAGCUGGAGGAGAGGAGGG